rnacentral:rRNA from 1 species
CAGCGCCACGAGUGGCAUACACAUUUAUUGGGCCUAAAGCGUCCGUAGCUGGUUUUGUAAAUCUUUUGUGAAAUCAUGGGGCUUAACUCCAUGGCGUGCAGAAGACACUGCAAGACUUGGAACCGGGAGGAGUCUGAGGUAUUCUGGGGGGAGCGGUAAAAUGUUAUAAUCCCCGGAGGACCACCUGUGGCGAAGGCGUCAGACUAGAACGGAUUCGACAGUGAGGGACGAAGGCCAGGGGAGCGAACCGGAUUAGAUACCCGAGUAGUCC